AUUGAACGCUGGCGGCAUGCUUUACACAUGCAAGUCGAACGGUAACAGGUUAAGCUGACGAGUGGCGAACGGGUGAGUAAUGCAUCGGAACGUGCCCAAUCGUGGGGGAUAACGCAGCGAAAGCUGCGUUAAUACCGCAUACGAUCUGAGGAUGAAAGCGGGGGACCGUAAGGCCUCGCGCGAUCGGAGCGGCCGAUGUCAGAUUAGGUAGUUGGUGGGGUAAAGGCUCACCAAGCCAACGAUCUGUAGCUGGUCUGAGAGGACGACCAGCCACACUGGGACUGAGACACGGCCCAGACUCCUACGGGAGGCAGCAGUGGGGAAUUUUGGACAAUGGGCGAAAGCCUGAUCCAGCAAUGCCGCGUGCAGGAAGAAGGCCUUCGGGUUGUAAACUGCUUUUGUACGGAGCGAAAAGGUCUCCUCUAAUACAGGGGGCUCAUGACGGUACCGUAAGAAUAAGCACCGGCUAACUACGUGCCAGCCGCCGCCGUAA
rnacentral:rRNA from 1 species